rnacentral:rRNA from 1 species
AUGCAGCAACAGCAAGAGCCAGCCAGAGCCAGUGGUGGAUCGAUUGCUUCGCGAAACAAAAGCAAAGGCUCGCCAUGCCAACAAGGUUUGGUUGCUCACGGAUCAGUUGCUUCGCCGGGUAAGAGGAAGGGCUCACCCCGCCAACAAGAUUAUGUUGCAGAUGGAUCGGUUGAUUUACGGACUGACAUAAAUCGCACACCCCGCCAAGAAGAUGAAAGUUCUCAGGGUGGUCCAGCAAAGGACUAUUCAGGGCCACACGGCCCACACCUUCCAGAGGACAUCUGGUGUCAUAUACAUUCCCUAAUGCCACUCCGAGAUGCCGCCCGGGCUGCUUGUGUGUCUCGUGCCUUCAAAUUCUCCUGGAGAUGCUAUCCCAAGCUCACUUUCAGUGAAGAAACAUUGGGUUUGGAUGGACAUGUGAAUCGAAACGCUGAUGCAAGAGCUUUUACUACCAAAGUUGACCAUAUUCUUGAGAAGCACUCAGGCGUUGGCAUAAAGACACUGGAGCUUCUAGGAGCUCUAGAUUACAAUGCCAAAGACCGUUCGUAUCUUGACAAAUGGCUUCAAAUGGCAAUUACACCAGUACUUGAGGAACUUUGGCUCUAUUUAUCUUCAGUAAAUAACAAGUACGAAUUCCCAUGCUUAAUUCUAUCACAUGGGAAUGCAGCCUCGCUUCGACGUCUUCACCUUUCAAAAUGUACCUUUCGUCCCACAGUUGGCCUUGGUUGCUUGAGAAGCCUGACAAUAUUAAGUCUACUCCAAGUGCGCAUUACAGGUGAUGAGUUAGGUUCCCUUCUUUCUAGUUCUUUUGCUUUGGAGCGAUUGGAACUCAGGCAUUGCGAGAAAAUAAGUUGCUUGGCGAUACCUUGCCUUCUUCUGAGGCUCAACUACCUGGAGGUGUUAUAUUGCAAGAACCUGCGAAUCAUAGAGAACAAAGCUCCAAAUCUCACCCAUUUUACAUUAGUGGAAUGUAAAUCCCUGCAGGUACAACUGUCACAUCUAGCAUCAUCUCAAAUGAAGAGUGUAUGCAUGGAUUGUCCUGGCGUUAUUGGUUAUAUUCGUGCUAAGCUUGCAUCAAGCAUGCCAAACCUUCAAUCCCUUCUCAUAUAUUCAUCCGAGAUGGUUGACGCACCAAUGUCCAGCAAAUUUCUCCACCUCAAGUAUUUGAAUAUAAUUCUCAGGAGAGGGACCUUUUCCCUAAGCUAUGAUUAUCUCUCUCUGGCAUCUUUCUUGGGCGCUUCCCCUUCCUUGGAGACCUUCAUCUUGGAUGUAUGGGAACCACGCAUGGAGCAUGUCUCAGCUUCCACGGAUCUCUCGGAGCCAAGGGAGAUGCCUGGACACAACCAUGGCAAGCUCAAGAACGUGAGGAUCGACGGCUUCUACUCCACGAAGAGCUUGAUUGAGCUGGCAUGCCAUAUCGUUCACAUCGCAACCUCGCUCGAGUCGCUUAUAUUGGACACCCGAGAUAGGCCAAGGGAAAUCUUCUACUUUGGUACGCGAAGGGAAAAUAUUCUUAAAUCCCGUAGAGCACUUGUGGCUAUCCAAACUUACAUCAGGCCGAAGGUUCCAUCCACAGUUCAGUUUCUUGUUCUGGAGCCUUGUAACUGA